rnacentral:pre_miRNA from 1 species
GGGGGGAGCGCCGGAUCUUGAGCUGUGUGUCCCCGGCGCCCUGGGCUCUCAGGCUUGCACCGCUGGAAUCUGGCUCCCGGGGCCAUACAGCCCCCU